GAUGAACGCUGGCGGCGUGCCUAAUACAUGCAAGUCGAGCGAACAGACGAGGAGCUUGCUCCUCUGACGUUAGCGGCGGACGGGUGAGUAACACGUGGAUAACCUACCUAUAAGACUGGGAUAACUUCGGGAAACCGGAGCUAAUACCGGAUAAUAUAUUGAACCGCAUGGUUCAAUAGUGAAAGACGGUUUUGCUGUCACUUAUAGAUGGAUCCGCGCCGCAUUAGCUAGUUGGUAGGGUAACGGCUUACCAAGGCAACGAUGCGUAGCCGACCUGAGAGGGUGAUCGGCCACACGGGAACUGAGACACGGUCCAGACUCCUACGGGAGGCAGCAGUAGGGAAUCUUCCGCAAUGGGCGAAAGCCUGACGGAGCAACGCCGCGUGAGUGAUGAAGGUCUUCGGAUCGUAAAACUCUGUUAUUAGGGAAGAACAGAUGUGUAAGUAAAUGUGCACGUCUUGACGGUACCUAAUCAGAAAGCCACGGCUAACUACGUG
rnacentral:rRNA from 1 species